UACGUAGGAGACGAGCGUUUGUCCGGAAUUACUGGGCGUAAAGCGUGCGCAGGCGGCGCGUUUAAGACAGGUGUGAAAGCCCCCGAGCUUAACUUGGGAAUUGCGCUUGUGACUGGCGUGCUGGAGUGUGGCAGAGGGAGGUGGAAUUCCACGUGUAGCAGUGAAAUGCGUAGAGAUGUGGAGGAACACCGAUGGCGAAGGCAGCCUCCUGGGCCAGCACUGACGCUCAUGCACGAAAGCGUGGGGGAGCAAACAGG
rnacentral:rRNA from 1 species